rnacentral:lncRNA from 1 species
UGUGAUUCUCGGUUCCUUUUCGGUUGUUCCUGUCUCCGCGAGUUGGUCGUCCCCAAGGAAUGCGUAAGCUUCCGGUUUACUCUGUUGAUGUAUUGUGCUCUAUGCAAGAUAUUGCAGAGGAAUUGCCGUCUGUAACAGGGUCGUAGUACUGGUCCCCUAAAUUAAUUGCUUAAGUAGCCUAUUAAUCAUGAUUUCGUGUUCAUCUUGGUGAUUAUAGGUAUUUAGGGCAUCUGUAUUUGUUGAUUGUGAUGCCAAGAUUGGUCCUUAUGUAUGGGCUAUACUCAUGGUAAGAUUAGCCAACAGUUCAAGCCCUAUCUGGAAUGCGGGAAUUUGCUUGUACUUAGUUGUGGAACAGUUUAAUUACCGCAAAAACCUAGGGUUGUGUUCCCAGUUUGAGUAAAUGAUGUCAUUGAGAUGUCUGUAGCUUUAUAUUCCCAUGCUCGAUUACUUCUUCCUUGUGAUCAUCUAGCUGUAUUAUAUGCUAAAAAAAUAUUCUUUGCCAACGGCUUCAGUGUUCUCUUCCCCUCGGGAUUGUUGCCUUGCUUUAUGAUUAUUAGAUGUGUUCUCUUUAUGAUUCUCUAUUUUUAUUCGUAAAAUUUCCUUGUGGUCAGCUAGGUGUACUAUGCUAAAAGAAAAUCUUCCCCAACUGCUUCAAUGUUCUCUUUUCCCCGAACAGUGUAUGCACAAUCGGUCUUUUAGGAUUGUUACCUUGCUUUAUGAUUAUCAGAUGUGUUCUCUUUAUGAUUCUCUAUUUUUAUUCUUCAUAUUUCGUUAAUGAGUUUAGCUCUUGAGCUGAAGUUAUUGAGUUUUCGUUGCUGUGGUUUAGAGAUGAUUCAAAUUCUGGAAAUUAUUGGCAUUGAAGUACCAUUGAUUGCCUCACCACUAGCAGAAUUAUGUAUUCAGUCUAUCCUAUGUCAGUCCAUAUAGGUCUAGCUAUACAAAUUCUUCACUUUUAUUGUUUUGGAAUUAGCUUCUAUGGAGUUCUCUUUGUUUCCCAACAGGGUUCGUGGUGCCAUGACAUUCUCAUGUGUAUGUUCCUAAUACAACAAUCUGUCUCUGAACUUCGCUUUUGGACUCCUGAGUACAUUUUGUUUGGGAACUGCAUACUAUGUUUGAUUUAAAUGGAGCUCCCAUGCGUAGAACACCUCUUGGAGUAUCAACUUAGCUCUAGAAUCAACCAUAUUUUUUCUGACACGUACAGCAGGGAUACUCCCUGCUCCCAACAUAAAUUUUGUUCAUGUAAGUAAAACCAGCAUACUGCAAAACUCCACAGUUGCCGCAAGGUUAACAAGUGUAGGUUUGAAACAGAGGGAAGGGUGGAAAAUUAGAUUAGGUAAAACCUUGUGGCACUAUACCUUGAUCAUUCUAUAGCACUGGUGCAGCAUCUGGCCCAAGUAUUUUGAGGAGUCUAUCUGUACUUUUAUUAAUCAUUAAUGUGUUGGUACAUAUAUAUUGAGAAAUGAAACUUCUGUCACGGAUGUUUUAGUUUUCUGCUUGUUGGAAACACGACUGCUUCUUGCAAAACCUGUUUGACAGUUCGGAUGAAAUUGUGUCACAUGCCUUAUUUAGUUUGGGAGGUACUAACCUCCUGUUGUAGUUGAGCAGUGUCCGUUCGAAAAGAAAUAUUAUUCUAGUCUUUCACUGAUCAGUUGUGUAAUUGCAUAUGUAUCGAAGCACUAGGGGGUAAACCAAGAAGGUAGAUAGCACAAAAUUCUUCACUAGGACAGUGACAACAGUGACUUUCUGUUAUCCCUACUGUUCCCUUGGUAAAACGUAUAGGAUGUACUUCUCACGAUCAGGACUGCAGCUAAGAUGAACAUGCAAUCUCUCUUUUCUUUUAAUUUUCAGAACAUUUACAGUCUUGCUCACUACUCUGAUUCUUCUUUAUCAGUGGAUGCAAAGUCAAAAACAAGAGCUUUUAGGACUUCAUGUUUUGAAACCAGUUAAAUCAUAUAGUUUCUGUUAUUUUUUCUCAUGCUCCUGUUCUCUGAACAUAUUAGCUGGAAGCAUCACAUAGUUUGUUAGCUUUUUACAGACAAGUGUGCUUUGAUUUUUGUUUAAGAUUGGAGCUAUCUUCAUGUUGUUUGUUCCAUAAAUAUUCUUAUAUACCAUCAAAAUAACUUCUGUUAAUUAUGUUCAGUACUGAUGAAUUUUUCAUUGACUAUUUUGAACACUGUCAUUCUCAAGUUAAGUUUGUACUCUGUAACCUCAUAACCUCAUAAAGAGCAAUAUAUUUGUUUGGCUGUUCUCUGUUAACAAUAUUUACCCCUGUUCUUUCAUGUGCAAUUUGUAAUCAUCUAUCUAACCAUGUUUUCCAUUAGAAGUUAGAAUGCGUCUGUUUGUCUAUUCUAAAACUAAGGUGUAGCAUCCAAGAGCUUGUCUUCAUUUAGUAUGCUUCAGUUUAUCUAUUGUGGAUUACUCUCUCCAUUCCAAAUUAAUUGAAGUUCUAGCUUUGUCCUUAUUCAAAUUUGACCAAGUCCAUAAGAAAAAUAUAUCAAGACCUACAACGCCAAAUUAGUUUCAUUACACUGAACCGGAUCUUGAAAACGGGAGUGAACUGAAUCCGACUUCUUGGGAUUUCUUACAAAAUGUAUUUCCAUUAUAUAUAUGUUUGGUAUUGUAGAUCUAAGCAUAUUUUUCUAUAGACUUGGUCAAACUCAAAGAAGUUUGACUUAGACAAACCUAGAACUUCAAUAAUUUGGAAGGGUGGGAGUUUUGGUUUCUACUCCCUCCGUUCCUAAAUAUAAGUCCUUUUAGAGAUUCCACUACAAACUACAUAUGGAUGUAUAUAGACAUUUUUUAGAGUGUGGAUUCACUCAUUUUGCUCCAUAUGUAUUCCAUAGUGAAAUCUCUAAAAAGCCUUAUAUUUAGAAACGGAGGGAGUAGAAUUUAGCAUCCUGAGCUUGCCCUUAAUUUGCUACACUCCAACUAUCCAUCUUGCAAUUAUAAAUGGUAUUGUUUCUUCACUUGCCUUGUUUCUUUCCAUGUAUGAAAAAAAUGGUUUCCAACUCAUAUUGGGUAUUUCUGUUUUGAUGUCAAACGAACCUCGGAAUAUUUGCAUAAUUUCUUAUUUUUAUUAGUGUGUAAUGUAUCGGCAUCAUCAAGCCAACAAUGCCUGGACUGUUUCUGAUGGACCAAAAUGUGUAGGGUUCGAUAUCUUUUUUUAUUGUUAUUUUGGUUAGGUAAUUUAUGCAUAUGAUAUUCACUGUUGUGCAGAUCGGUUUUUUCAGCAUCACUAGAGUCAAGGAGGCUUCCCUUGGACUGGCGCUAUGCACGCCCAUCAUAUUUUAUUUAGGUUAUGCCUAGAACUCUAAUAAGUGGAGCUUAGCAGUAGCAUACAGUGACUUAUUACUGGAUUUCACCGUUAUAAGCACAUACUUAUAAAUAUUAAAUCAUGACGCAAAUUGUAUAUUUAGGAAUUGUCCCCAGUAUCCACCUUAUUAUUUUGCUUGUUGUUAGGCUAUAGUAAGUGUUGCUGCAACUUGGAAUUUGGUCGCAGCAUGCUCUUUCACUAUUUUUUUUGUCUAUUUUUAUCAAUGUAUUAUUAAUGUCAAGUCACUGUAUACACUCCUGUUUUGAAACAACAUUGACGUACUGAUGAGAUUUUAUUUUCUCUUGUUUUGAAACAGGAGUCUGGACUGGAUACACUCCUUCUCUUUUGUCCCGUGUGAUAAAAGAUUUAUAGCUUAUAAUAUCACAACAAUGUACAUAUUCAUUACCACUGAACUUGUAACUGCAGUAUUUGUGUAAUUCUAUAUAUCCAUUCAUCUUGUUUUUUCCAUAUUGCAUUUGGGAUCAUGGUAGAGGUUCAUCUGAGGUAUUUCUUCUUUUCGUCAAGAAAUCAUAAAAGCGUUCUAGAUCUUCAGUAUUGUGUAACAGCUAGAUACUCAUUCAUGCUGUCUUUGUUUUCUCUUUUUUUAACUGAAGAAACACUUCAUCUUAGGUUUUAAAACAGUUUCCGCUUAUUUUUCAGUGCCAUUUAGAAGAUUUUGGUGGCCAGAGAACAAAGCAAGUCACCGAACCAUGCUCAUGGUCUGCUGGAAUAUCACACUAAAACUUCAUGCUGGUAAGUUUCCUCAUUUGUCAUGAACCCUGAAUGAUUAACCUCGUACAAACCAGACAUCAAAUAUAUUUCAGUACAUGGUAGUCAUGCAAAACUUGCAUCUGUCAUAUUAGGAACUCAUUGUUGUCGAUAUGUACAUGUUAACUGAUGUUGGGCCUCCACAACCCACUACUGGCAUGACUAAAAGAGCCAGUCUUACAUCUUUUGUUAGGGAAGCUACUAUACAUCUUAGACUUGUGGAGUAAUUUACAAGAUGCACAUACAAAUCUCUUCGGCACCUGAACAAAAUCACUAAUUCCAACACACCUAGUGUGCUGCCACACAUGGCAUGAGUCACAAGAUAGCAUCCUCUCACCAUCAUCAUCCUUCGCUCCACAUGAACAAUUAACUGUCCAUUUGUCUACACCCCUCUCCAUUCGAUAAAUUGCAACCCUGCGCUCACCUCCAACACACUUGCCUUGGAUGCUGACAGUCCCUUUUGCUCCAAAUAAGAGCUUGACUUGAGUUGUGUCAUCUGCAGUUGGACAAUCAAGAAGCUGGUUUGCUACAAAGCUUUGUAGCAUCAAGUAGAUACUUUGGAAUGUUCUCGCAGCCUCCAUCUUCAGAUCAGCAACAGUAGCUGUUUGCGGAAGUGUUAAAAGUUCUGCUGGGAGGCUGGGUGGAUCACCAACCUGAUCCAAUAGCUCCACUUGGCACCAGAUGUGCAGCACAGAUUGGUUUUGAGGCAAGAAAUCCUCUUCCAUGUCAUAAUGCUUGAUGAACUGCUUGCAGUCCAAAAGGACCAUCGCAGAUCUGUUGGCAUGUUCAUGAAUAUGUUCUGGCUUAUAAGGUUGCAUUGUAUGAGGGUUGAGGAGCGCAUCAUAGAGGAACUUGAUGUCAUGGAAAAGGUGUUCCCGAGUUGGCAUGCUCGCAUUCUUUGGUGGCAAGAUUUCAUUUGUGAGCCUGCAAUGAGUAAAAGAACAGUUAGCCUUUUGAUCAUAGAAACAAGAACUAGGCUAGUUAUGCAAGUCACAACCAAUAUCUGAGUCACGAACCUGUACUCUAUUGUGUUUGUCUCACUGUUGCAUCGAACUACAACAACCAUUCCAUCAUAGGUUCUUGUACCACCAAUGGUCUUGAGGCAGUAAUCAACCAGCUGUGGUGAACCAAUUGGAUGAGCUGUAGCUGCCUUUAGGGUUCGCAUAGCCACCCACCUAUCUGCAGCACGGAGAACUUUCAGCACAACAUCCAUCGCUUGCUUUAUUUUCUCAUCAGCCCAGUUUUCCUCUUUGAAAUUGGCAUCAUAUGCUAGCUCCCUCUUGUGCAUUGUCACAAGGUGGGUAUGCACACUUUUGCCAGCAGCAAGCCCCAAGACAUAGAGGAACAGAUCACGGAAUGUGGUGAGAGGGCGCUUUGAGAGCGAUUGAUAGAAAGCAAUGGUAUCCUGCAGUUGGUUUCGAGGAUAUCGGGAGUGCGGAAAGAAGUGAGAGAGUGACACUGAGGAGAGGUUUUCAAUGGCUUUGCUGUAGGUUUCAGAUGUAAUUCCGAAGCUCCCACUUCCGAGUUUGAAUCCCCACUGCCCAUACCAAGAACAGCCAGUGGCAAUGGCAUGUAGAACCCUGUAGUCAACUUCAAACUUCUUCGAGACAUCCAACACUGAAACCUUUCUGAAAUUAAUCAUGUACUCUUAUGUUAGUAUCAUUUCCCAACAAAUUACAAAAAGGUAGGCUGUUCCUAUUCCACAUAAAUGUGUAAAUUUGGCUUUUAUACCUGACUCUUAGGUAUGUGCAAAGACGAUCCCAAAAGUCCAUCAGUUGGUAUCCUGUCAAGAGGCUGGAGCCACCUUCAUGGCCGUUAAUUCGUACAAGAUGGCCAAACCCAUUUUCAUGUACUAUGCCAUGCAGCAAAUGCCGCGGAUCAUCAAUCUGGGCAUAGUCCCAAUCUUCAGAUUCAUCAUGGGGUAACGCAGAACCAUGACUGCACGCCGGGCACCUGAUCAUUGAUUAAAUAACAGUUCAGUGUGUAAUUUUAUUUAUCAUCAGAAGUUGCAGUGUUAUUGUCACAUUUGUUUGCAGUGAUAUUGUUGCCUUAUUAGAUUGCAAAUACUGAACAUUGGUGAUAGAACCAAC